UACGUAGGUGGCUAGCGUUGUCCGGAUUUACUGGGCGUAAAGAGCGCGCAGGCGGUCGUUCAAGUCGAGUGUGAAAGCCCCCGGCUCAACUGGGGAGGGUCAUUCGAUACUGAUCGUCUGGAAGGCAGGAGAGGGAAGCGGAAUUCCCGGUGUAGUGGUGAAAUGCGUAGAUAUCGGGAGGAACACCAGUGGCGAAGGCGGCUUCCUGGCCUGUUCUUGACGCUGAGGCGCGAAAGCUAGGGGAGCAAACGGG
rnacentral:rRNA from 1 species